UUUAAAGAGAGUUUGAUCCUGGCUCAGGACGAACGCUGGCGGCGUGCCUAAUACAUGCAAGUCGAACGAACGGAGGAAGAGCUUGCUCUUCCAAAGUUAGUGGCGGACGGGUGAGUAACACGUGGGCAACCUGCCUGUAAGUUGGGGAUAACUCCGGGAAACCGGGGCUAAUACCGAAUGAUAAAGUGUGGCGCAUGCCACGCUUUUGAAAGAUGGUUUCGGCUAUCGCUUACAGAUGGGCCCGCGGUGCAUUAGCUAGUUGGUAGGGUAAUGGCCUACCAAGGCAACGAUGCAUAGCCGACCUGAGAGGGUGAUCGGCCACACUGGGACUGAGACACGGCCCAGACUCCUACGGGAGGCAGCAGUAGGGAAUCUUCCGCAAUGGACGAAAGUCUGACGGAGCAACGCCGCGUGUAUGAAGAAGGUUUUCGGA
rnacentral:rRNA from 1 species